AUGAACGCUGGCGGCGUGCCUAAUACAUGCCAGUCGAGCGAACAGACGAGGAGCUUGCUCCUCUGACGUUAGCGGCGGACGGGUGAGUAACACGUGGAUAACCUACCUAUAAGACUGGGAUAACUUCGGGAAACCGGAGCUAAUACCGGAUAAUAUAUUGAACCGCAUGGUUCAAUAGUGAAAGACGGUUUUGCUGUCACUUAUAGAUGGAUCCGCGCCGCAUUAGCUAGUUGGUAAGGUAACGGCUUACCAAGGCAACGAUGCGUAGCCGACCUGAGAGGGGGAUCGGCCACACUGGAACUGAGACACGGUCCAGACUCCUACGGGAGGCAGCAGUAGGGAAUCUUCCGCAAUGGGCGAAAGCCUGACGGAGCAACGCCGCGUGAGUGAUGAAGGUCUUCGGAUCGUAAAACUCUGUUAUUAGGGAAGAACAAAUGUGUAAGUAACUAUGCACGUCUUGACGGUACCUAAUCAGAAAGCCACGGCUAACUACGUG
rnacentral:rRNA from 1 species